UUGGAUUUAGCUCCAGUAACUAUAAAUAAUGACAUACAGCAAAUGAUGUUGAGCAAUAAGAAAAAAAUCAGAUAAUUUAGAUAUUGUAAAGUAAUUGAUUGAAAAAGAGACAAUUGAAAAAAUAGGGUAUUUUUAAAUGUUUGAAGGUGCUGAUAAUUAUCUCAUUUUAACUAUAAUGUAUUAAUUCAGAAAUAAAUUAUGCAGUGGUAGAAUAGUUUGAUAUUAAAGUAUUAUAGUAAGGUAGUACAGAAUCAGGUAUCAUUCCCACACUGUAGAUGAAAAUGUGGGUGUAAUAUUUUAAAGGAAAUUUAGUAACAUUUGUUAAAAUGUAAAAUAAUAAUAUUUGACUCCAAAUUCUACUUUAUGUAUUCUUACAUGUGCACAAAAUUAUUUAUUUUUAAGCAAAGAGAAUUUUGACAGUUUUGAUGGUUUUAAGUGCAAAUACAUAUAUUUCUGUAAUGGAAUUAUGUAUAGUUUUCAGAAUCAGUAGAGUUGUGCUGAUAUGGAAAUAUCAUCAAGAACUAUUUUAAAAUGAAAAUAACAAGGUUCAGAAUAGUUAGUAGUUAGUAUCACUUGUACUUUAAAUGCAUGCUUUCAUACACACACACACACACACACACACACACACGUGCCGUGGAUAUAUGUAUAUUCAAGUGGCACAUACAUAUAUCUAUUUGUGUACAAAUGAAGAUAUUAACUUCUAUAUAAGUUUUUGUUUCUCAGGGAAAACUUUAUAAGGGAUACAAGAAGACAUUAUUUUCAGUAAGUGUAACUUAGUAUUUUGCAGCUGAAAGGAAGCUCACACUUUAUAGAUAUUUUUUUGUUGUGUUUCAGAUACCGCUUGAGCCACAUCCCCAGCCCAAUCAUGACUUUAAUUUUAUAGAAGCUCAACUCAUCUUGCAAAGUAUUCCUUAUUUCCUGGUUAAAAUGUACAUAUUAUGCAGUUACUAUAUACAAGCACUUUCUGAGGAAUGAGGAUGCAUCAAAUAACAAAGGAGAUAUUCUCUUGUCCUCAUGGAACUUAUACUUUAAAAAGGAUGCUAUAAGUAGUAUCAUCAUAAUCUAAAUUGCCACCUUUCUUGCCUGGAAUGCAGCAACAGUGACUUCCACGAAGGUUGGGUCAUUUGGCGAGUUCUAGCCAACUGAAUAAAACAGGAAAUGAUAUGGCAUAUCUGGUCCAAGUCAGUGAAGAGCAAGUAUACUUUUUCUACAUUACUUCCCUUCCCUAAAUCUGUUGGUGAAAGAUACACUUAGACCAUUGGACUUCAAGUGGACCCUGAAAUCUGAAGUUGAAAAUCGUCAAGUUACCAUAAAAGGAGUUUGGAUCUCUGAAUGCCUACAUGAAGCAAAGUAAAGCUGUUUUCUUUCCCUGGAUAAUCAUGAUUUAGAAAGAUAUAAAAUUUUACUAUGCUAAGUCACUGAUAUCUUGUAGUUAUUACAGGUACUAAUGUAACUUGUCUGAAUAUAGACACUUCUAAUUUUUCUUUUCUUAUCCAUCUCCUAGUUACUUUGAAAGAAUAAUUUUUAAUAUUUUAUGGGUUGAAUUAUGUAGUAUAUAUCAUUCACAGUAGAAAAAAACAAAUGUACCUCUUUUUUUCUAUAUCUUCUCUGAUUUCUCAUCUAUAAGUACUAUUCUAUGGUACUAGCUAUUUGGAGUAGUAUUUACUGAAAUACUAUACCACAAAGUUGAAGUCACCAUUAUUUUAAUUCAGUUCUUAAAUCUUAUCACUUAUGAUUAAUACUAUUCUUAAGUUAAAAUUAGUGAAGUUAUAAAAUAAAUGUCUGCAAGUUGAAUAUAAAAAUUAGUUAAUAGAUUUUGUUUAUAUCAAAUAGAAUAAAACCAUUAUAAUAUUUGAUGUUGACUUGCUAGCAUUAUUAUGUAUUUAGGACACACAAAUGAUUUCUUUUUAGUUUUUUCUUCAAUCUAUCUCAAUUUAUGGAUAUUCUUCAUAAAUUUGUAAAUAUAAAAUGUAAUACUUCUUUGUAUUAAAUGUGGUGUUUGAGUGAAAAAUUCAAUUCAGAAAUAAUAGCUCACUUAAAGGUUUUAUUUACUUAUAUCCUCAGUUUUGAUCUCUUUGGGACCUCAGUAGUAUGUGUGUGUGUGUGUGUGUGUGUGUGUGUGUGUAUGCAUGCACACAUGUUUAUUUUCUUAUUCCUUUUCAUUGUGUCAGAAAAUGGCAAUAUUUCAUUUCUAAUUGCCCAGAACAUUUUCAACUUCACUUUAAUCCCAGAUUUUUCAGCACUCCAUUCGCCAUCAUCUCCUUAGGCUCUAGAAAUUUAAAAUGUUACUAACAUCUUAGUUCUCUCAAAAUAUAUUAUCUAUUUCUAAUUGAAUGUCUCCAAACAAUAUCAGUAGGGCACUUUGGCAAAUGCUUUAGAAAAAUUAUCUAAUAGUAGAGGUAGAUCAUGUUCCCUUUUCCACUUACUGCCCUUGUUCCUUAAGUAAGGAUGCCAAGAGGACAAUUUAGACAAUUUAUUGUAGGCUAAAAUCAGUAACCUCAUUAAGAUAGGGGUAAAGGAAGGAGUCAGUCACAGUAAUUGAAAACAAAAAGUUGGACUGAAAAACCAAUGUAUUUGGAAACUUCCAAACUUCAACUCUUAUUUCUGAUGGUGUAAUUUAAAAACAUUUUAAGUUUCAAUCUUUCCAACUCUAACACAAAGCAAAUUGUUCCUCCUGACAUAGCCUUUACUGAGGCACAAAGUAUAACAGAACAAAGAAAGGACUCUAGAUAAUAAUCAGUCCUAUGAUACCAUGAGGCAAAAGAAGGGUUAUUUUACAAAGGGAUCAGAAUCUCUGCAUUUAUUGACUAUUAGAAAUUUUUGCAGUCAUUAGCAUGAAAGAAAUCACCCUGCCAAUGAGUGAAGAUUGCUGAAUAGUGAUUUAUUGGCCUUGACAACAUUAGCCUCUGGGACCUUCCAUUUUUCUUUAUGGUACCUAAAUUUACUGAUCCCCUUCAUUCUCUAUUUUCUCUUUAUAUUUGUUUCAGAUUCAAUAUAGUUAUAGUGGAAGAUUGUUUUUAAAUAUCCUAAAUGCAUUAGCCUUGAUUUGUUUUCAGUUUUAUGUCUUUAAUCAGAGUUUUGUAUCAUAAUUCCAAGGAGAAUACAUUUGAAAAAAAUUCAUCUACCCUUCUUACUAUCUUUUAGAUGCAUGUUCCUUGUUUUUAUUUUGUUGGGGUUUUGUUGUUGUUGUUUUGUUUUUGUGUGUGAAAUGUGUCAAGGAAUGGAGUAUAUACUAUAUAUUUGCAUGAAUACCUUUUAACUCUUUAUAACCCACCUUGAACAUUAAAAGGGAGAUUGGCAUGAUAGCACUGUCAUUUUCUUUUUUGGUUCACCCUUCUGCAUCUCUCAUUGGCCAUCUUGAUAUUACAAGCCAAAAAUUAUACAACCUGAUAGAUAAAAACAAUCACCAAGCAAUAAUUUUUUUGAGUUAUUUCAAUACCUUUGUUAAGAUGUGAAUCUUAAACAACACAGGAUAAGCCUCACUGUCUUUAGGAAACUCAAGGCAAGAUUUACUAGAAUUUGCCCUAGGGAUGUAAGAAGAAGAAUUUGGUGAAUAAGGCAGAUUCAAUGGAAAUUGCUCAGAUUAAUGGAGAACUAGGCAGGUCAAUGGUAGUCCAAUCCUGGACUAGAAAUUAGACCAAUGAGAAAAUACAUAGAAGAAUUAUCUUACUUAGAUAUAUAAGAAUUUCCUAUUUUUUAAUAACAAAACUUUUGGCACAUUCUCAACUAUACUUUCUCUAGAGAAGGUGCCACAAGACAACAUCUAGAGUACUAUAUUAGAAGAACAAAGGUGUGGACCAAGAACACAAGAAAAAAUGAAAGAAAGGAAGGCUCCUACCUAGCAAACAGUACUAGAAAAGUAAAUGUCUGAAUUAAGAUGCAUCUUAGGAAUUUGUAAAAGUUCAGUUAAGUGACACUAAAGGAACAACUGAAGGAAAUCAAACACAAACCUGGGUCUCAUCCAGAAAUAUUCUGGUUUCAGUGUUCUAGGAUGUGGAUUAGGCCUUCAGAUUCCUAAAUGCUCUAAAAGUGAUUCAAAUAUGUAGUCAAGGAAGAGAAUAAUUACAACAGAGAAGUGACUUAUUCUACAGAAUAGGAUACAGGAGGGUAGAAAUGCUAAUUAAAUGUUGGGACAUAGAAAUUCUUAGAAAAGACUUGAUGAGAAUGUGGUAGAGGGUUGUUUUUCACGAGUUCUCCCCAAGGCACUGACUUUAGAAAUACCAACAGCAUCUUUAUUCAGGAAUCUGCUGAGGUUGAAUCCCUAACUGAAAAAAAAAAAAAAAGAAAACAUGAAAAGUGGGAUACAUUUUUGGUACGUAGAAUUCUUUAAUUCCAUCACAGGAGGCAAGUGUGAAAGCUAUCAUGUCCAUCUAGAGAAUGCUCUUGGCUGAAAGUUCUUGACCACGAGUCUGUCACCUUAUAGAAUACACACUCAAUGCAGCUUCAGGUGCCAGAAACACAGGACUUGCCAGGAAAUUGGGAAUUCAAAGACUUGGGAUAUGCAGAAAGAAAAAGAAUCUUCAGGUAAGAUCUGGUGACUGGAUUGUCACCAUUAUAUAUUUAUACACUAUUAGAAAUCAGGAAGAAUUCGAGUACUACUCUAAAAGAAGAGAAAUAAUGUUGUCGAAUCAGGGUAGGGGGUUCCUAGUUCAGUGUUUUUCAAUUAGGGUUGGUCAAAAUGACCUGGAGCCCUUGGUAAAUCACUGGUCACUGGGUACCAUCUCUAGCUUCAUUCCUUGGUCUGCAGUGGGACCUGAGUUUUGGCAUUCCUAACUAGCUCUCAGGUAAUGCAGGUCUUCCUGGUCAGGGAUGACACUUAAAGAGCAUUGCCUCUGUCCAAAACCCAUACACUGAACAAACUUUGGGGAAGUCAAAAUAAAUGAUGACACCGUGUUUAACCAAAGUUUGUUGAGUGUAUGGGUUGUGGACAGAGGCAAUGGAUAUGAACUGAUCAACAUCUGAAUGAAGCUAAACCAAGAUUUUUUGUGUGUGUCUUCUGAUUUUCCUCAGGUUUCAUAAAGUCUCUUCUUGGUUCUCUAGCUACACUAUCUACUGGUUUCUGGGAAUAUAAUUUUGCCUAAAUGUAACUAUUUUAGGGAAUAAGGAUUAAUUUGUCCUUUAUAAUGAUGAGGGUAGGGUUCAUGUUAUGGUAAUAUUGUGUGUAUGGUUAAGGCUUCAAAUACGAAGGUUAUAGACAACUUGGUAAUGAAGUAAUACAAUUUGUGUACCAUUGAAUGAACUAUAACUGUAGGAAUCUACUCAGAUAGUAGUUACCAAAAGAAUCCAGCUUGACCUAAGCACUAACUGAGAUGCUCCAACUGAGAUGAAGCAAAGGAAUUGAGGAAGAGGAAUUAUAUAGGCAAGAAUUAUAUAAGGCAAGAAAUCUAAUUUUUUGCCCAAAUCCUUUUAAACUUGUACAAAAUUAGUAUAUUUGCAAGAUGUAUUAGUCUGUUUUUCAUUGCUAUAACAAAAUACUUGAAGUUGAGUGAUAUUAAAGAAACAAGGUUUAUUUAGUUCACAGUUUUGGAGGUUGAAAGUUCAAGAAUAAGAGACCCUAUAUCCUUGAUCUCUAGUGAGGUCCUAGAGGUUGAAUGGUAUUACACUGGGAGCAUGUGCAAAAGAAAGAGAUCACAAGGUGAGUCAAGAAGCCAGAGAGACCACAAAGGAACAUAUCCUGCAUUUUUAUAAAAAUUUUCUUGUGACAACUAACCAAGGUCUCACAAGGACUGGAUUAGUUCUUUCUAAGGGUAGCACCUUCAGUGAUCUAACUAUACUCCACUGGGCCUCACCUCUUUAAAGUCUCUCAUGCAUCUAUCAACACAGGAACUCUUUUGAGGAUAUGCUCAAACCAUGACAGGCAUUAAUCUGUAGUCUUUAGUCUGUCCUCAAAAACUUCAUAGAGGUAGAGGUUAAUUUAUAAAUCUGUGUUAUCUUUACAUUUCUGAAAUUAUAAUGAAAUAUCGUUGUUUAGCAUUUUAUUUCAUUGCAGAACUUCUCAUAGGCUUUUUUUGUCUCGAUAUAAUUGUAUGUAGAACUUACACUGAAAGAAUGAACUCUCAAUCUUGUGGACAGAGAGGACUUUGAGAUAGAUUCAUUGAUGUGUUCUGUGAUCUAUUUCAAAAUCUUCUGGAAUCAAAAUCUACAUACUUAAGAAUUGUGAUGGUAUGGGCCUGGGAACAUGACUAUCCUAAAAAUGGUCUGAUUUCCUCUUUUGGAAGGGAAAGCCCCUCUGGACUUAGUGGCUGAGCCUAAUGCCUUGAUAGAACAUCGUCCUGGAUAAUACGGCGUCAAGGAAAAAGAAUGACUAUGCAGUUCAUCUUCCUUUUUGGGCGAAUUGCCUGCCUGCCAAGAACACAUCCACCAUGCAUUAGAUUUACUGGGACAGGUUUUGUCCUGAGACCCAUGGUUGAUCAGCACUUUCUCCCACUGAUGGGAGUUUGAUUUCUGGAGAUUUCUAUUGAGAAUUCCGUACUAGCUUUGCACUUAUGUCAUAUAUUUCAAGCUAGCCUUUAUCAAUAUUAAGGGGUAUAUUUUGAGAUCUAUUUGUCUGAGUUUCAUUCAUCUCAAACAAUCCUGAAAUGAGGCAAGGCAUAGAGGAAGUAUGUCUCUUAAAGUCUAACACUUAUUUCCUAGAAAAACUUCAAUAUUAUAUGUAUCUCUAUGGGUCACAAUAUAAAACAGUAUGCAUUUUAAUAUGUGCCUGACUAUUGGCUUCAUGUUAUGGUCCCAAAUUUUAUUUUUCCCUUGCUUUUCUUUCAUAAUUAAUUUCCUUCUGUCAUCUCAUGAUGUGAUACAACAUGUAAUAUAUAAUAUAAAAUAUUAUAUUGUUGAGAUAUAAUACAAUAUGGUAUAUAGUAUUAUACUUUCUCUGUCGUUUUAUGUAAUAAAACCAUUGCAUUCAUAUUUAUAUUUUUAUCUUUAUGUAUUUGUGUAUAUAUUACAGCAUGUGUUUUUGCAAAGUGCCCUUAAAUGCUAUAUUUAGAGAAGGUGGGAGAUAAACACACAAGCAAAAUUCUUCAUGUCUCAGAUUAGAUAUCAUGUCCUUGACUAAUGAGAGAUGCAGGGACACAAUUCCCCAGCAUGCAUAUUUUGAGUGAACCCUUAUAAACAUUCCAAUACAUAAUUAUAUCUUGCUUGUGUAUGUGCAUUUUACAUGUAUCAUUUUCCCAUUUCCUCCAUUGUAUUAAAACAAAGACUAAUAGACUGAGAGUAGAGAAUAAUAAGAGGAACUUGAUCUAAUGAAUCCACCCCAAAUCCUGGCUCUCAGCAGGAGAUUGCUAAGUUCUAAACUGAACCAAAACACAAAGGGAGGUUCUCUUUCAUGGUGGCUAAAAUCCCACCCCAUCCAUUAAGGCAUUUGUCAUCACCAGUGUGUAAGCUUCAGUGGCUGUUAAUUGAAUGAUUCCACUGGAAAGUUACUUACAUAUUAAAGCAAGCCCUGUAUUAAACAGCUAGCAUUCUUAUCUUAUUUAAUCCUUAAAAAGUGUGUUAUAAAUAGGAAGCCAAGGCUCAAAGUGGUUGUAUGACUUGUCUGAGGUCACACAGUUGGUGUGAUCCGCUUGGACCCACAUUUACAGACUCUGAUUCCAGAGCCUGUGUUACUCAGCACUGUGACAGAAGGUUUCCAACAAAGAAAUGGAUUACACCCCAAUGCAAUAGUUUUUCCUGCCAUUCUGUACAUUGUACACGUUAACAGUCUGCUUGCCCAGGCAAAGUCAGAUUUAGAAAUAAAUAUCUUCACCUACUUAUUUAGUUGAGGACAACCAUCAUGCCAGUAAAAUUCCUGACCAGUAUGCUCAAGUCUUUAGCAGAUAACAUUAAAUAAAUAAAUAAAUAAAUAAAUAAGUACUUAAAUAAAUAAAUUAGAGGUCUGUUUUCCAUUGUAUUUAUUUAUUAUUGGGGGGAAAGUAUUUGAAACCCUUUGUAUCAUUUGCAGGUUAACUUAAGUACAGACCAAGGUUUUUCUUAAAGUAAUGAAAUUUUGAAUUUAACUGUUUUUCCAAGUUGUUUUACACAGUUGAAUAUUCAAGUCUUGAAACUAUUCCUCAUUGUUACCAUUGUAUCAACAAUUGGCUUUGAAGCUGUUAAAAGGCUCUAUACUAUUCAGCCAAGGUUACUAAAGGUGUACUCUUAUGAGUUUUGCAUGUGGCAAGUAAUUAUGUUAAGCACAUGGAAUUCUGCUUUAAACAUGAAA